rnacentral:misc_RNA from 1 species
AAUUAAGAACAAGUAUGGAAAGCUAUUUGAAUGAAAAUUUUGGAGAUGUGAAGCCGAAGCACUCUUCGGAGGAAGUGCUGAAGCGAUGGAGGAGCCUUUGUGGUGUUGUCAAGAACCCUAAACGUCGGUUUCGUUUCACUGCUAAUCUAUCCAAGCGUUAUGAGGCUGCUGCAAUGCGACGUACUAAUCAUGAGAAACUAAGGGUAGCAGUUCUGGUUUCAAAGGCUGCAUUUCAGUUUAUACAAGGCAUGCAACCAAGUGAUUACAGUGUACCAAAGGAAGUUGAAGGCGCCGGUUUUCAAAUUGACGCUGACGAGCUAGCAUCUGUUGUUGAAAGCCAUGAUCUGAAAAAAGUCAAAUUUCAUGGAGGAGUGGAUGGGAUUGCAAAUAAGCUGUCCACGUCAAGUACCGAUGGGAUUUCUACUGAUAAUGAAACUGCCCUAACUCGCAGACAGGAACUUUUUGGAAUUAACAAAUUCCAAGAAAGUGAAGCUCGGAGCUUUUGGUUGUUUGUCUGGGAAGCUCUUCAAGACAUGACUCUUAUGAUCCUUGGUGCAUGUGCUUUUGUUUCUCUGAUUGUUGGCAUUGUAAUGGAGGGAUGGCCUGUGGGGGCCCAUGAUGGUCUUGGUAUUGUAGCUAGUAUUUUGCUGGUGGUCUUUGUUACAGCAACAAGUGAUUAUCGCCAAUCCUUGCAGUUCAGAGACCUUGACAAAGAGAAGAAAAAGAUAUCUAUCCAGGUUACUAGGAAUGGAUACAGACAAAAGAUGUCCAUUUAUGAUCUAGUUCCUGGUGACAUAGUUCAUCUUGCAAUAGGAGAUCAAGUCCCUGCAGAUGGACUCUUUCUUUCAGGAUUUUCUGUUUUAAUUGAUGAAUCCAGCUUGACGGGAGAAAGUGAGCCAGUAAUGGUCAAUGCUCAAAAUCCAUUUCUUCUUUCUGGAACUAAGGUCCAAGAUGGUUCUUGCAAGAUGUUGGUUACAACAGUUGGGAUGAGGACUCAGUGGGGAAAACUGAUAGCAACACUCAGUGAAGGCGGAGAUGAUGAAACUCCAUUACAGGUUAAACUGAAUGGAGUGGCAACAAUCAUUGGAAAGAUAGGCCUUUUCUUUGCUGUAGUGACUUUUGCUGUACUCUUGCAAAAAAUGUUCGGCCGAAAACUGCUAGAGGGGUCCCACUGGAGCUGGUCUGGGGAAGAAGCUAGGGAAGUCUUGGAAUACUUUGCCAUUGCAGUUACCAUUGUGGUUGUUGCAGUUCCUGAGGGACUUCCCUUGGCUGUGACCUUAAGCCUUGCUUUUGCCAUGAAAAAGAUGAUGAAUGAUAAGGCACUUGUUCGUCAUCUGGCUGCUUGCGAGACAAUGGGGUCUGCCACAACUAUCUGUAGUGACAAAACUGGAACACUAACAACUAACCACAUGACCGUUGUAAAAGCAUGCAUCUGUGGGGAAAUCAAGGAAGUGAACAGCUCCAAGAGUACUCUUAAUUUUGGUCCUGCAGUUCCUGAUUCUGCUAUGAGAAUUCUAUUUGAGUCAAUAUUUAAUAACACUGGAGGAGAAGUUGUUAUUAACAAAGAGAACAAAAUUGAGAUUCUAGGAUCACCCACUGAAACUGCUCUUUUAGAGUUGGGGUUGUUACUGGGAGGAAAUUUCAAAGAAGAAAGAGAAAAAUCAAAAAUUGUGAAAGUUGAACCAUUCAACUCUGCAAAGAAGAGAAUGGGUGUAGUUUUAGAGCUUCCUGAUGGAGGUUUUCGGGCACACUGCAAGGGUGCCUCUGAAAUAAUUUUAGCUGCAUGUGACAAAUUUAUAGACACAAAUGGUGAGGUUGUUCCCCUUGAUGAAACAACCAUCAAUCAUUUAAAGAAUACGAUUGAACAAUUUGCCAGUGAAGCUCUUCGAACUCUUUGCCUUGCUUACAUAGAAAUUGGAAGUGAAUUCUCUGCUGAAAGCCAUAUUCCUUUCAAAGGGUACACUUGCAUAGGUAUUGUAGGCAUCAAAGAUCCAGUGCGCCCUGGCGUCAAGGAGUCUGUUGCAAUUUGCAAAUCAGCUGGAAUUGUUGUUCGAAUGGUCACUGGAGACAACAUAACCACUGCAAAGGCUAUUGCUAGAGAAUGUGGAAUUUUAACGGAUAAGGGCAUAGCAAUUGAAGGACCAGAAUUUCGGGAGAAAAGUGAGGAGGAGUUGCUUGAACUGAUUCCAAGAAUUCAGGUAAUGGCCCGAUCUUCACCAUUGGAUAAACAUACCCUUGUGAAGCACUUGCGAACAAAAUUUGGAGAGGUUGUUGCAGUGACCGGUGAUGGUACAAAUGAUGCUCCGGCUCUUCAUGAAGCCGACAUUGGGUUAGCAAUGGGCAUUGCUGGAACUGAGGUGGCUAAGGAAAGUGCUGAUGUCAUAAUUCUGGAUGACAACUUCUCCACAAUUGUGACUGUGGCAAAAUGGGGACGUUCAGUUUAUGUUAACAUUCAAAAAUUUGUUCAGUUUCAACUGACAGUCAAUGUGGUUGCCCUGAUUGUCAACUUUUCUUCAGCCUGUUUGACAGGUAAUGCUCCCCUAACUGCUGUUCAACUUCUCUGGGUCAAUAUGAUCAUGGAUACUCUAGGAGCACUAGCACUAGCCACAGAGCCUCCUAAUGAUGACCUGAUGAAGAGAUCACCAGUUGGUAGGAAGGGAAACUUCAUCAGUAAUGUAAUGUGGAGAAAUAUUUUGGGGCAGUCUAUUUAUCAGUUUGUGAUGAUAUGGUACCUUCAGACGAGAGGAAAAUCAAUUUUUCAUCUUGAUGGCCCAAAUUCUGACUUAGUACUAAACACACUCAUAUUUAACACAUUUGUCUUUUGUCAGGUUUUCAAUGAGAUCAGCUCCCGAGAGAUGGAAAAGAUAAAUGUCUUCAAAGGCAUACUGAAGAACUAUGUGUUUGUGGCUGUACUCACUUGCACUGUCCUCUUCCAAAUUGUAAUUGUUCAGCUCCUAAGUACAUUUGCAAGCACAUAUCCUCUCAGUUGGCAGCAGUGGUUUGUUACCGUUUUCCUUGGAUUCAUUGGCAUGCCAAUUGCAGCUGCCUUGAAGAUGGUACCAAUGGGAUCAAACUGAUACCUGAGUAAAUGGGCUAGCUGUAGCAUCUAUGGAGCUGUAGAAUUUUUUUCACACAGUAAAAGUUUGAAAGGCUAGCAAAAAUUGAGGCCAAAGAUGAUUUUGACUGCUCACAAAUGCUGUUGAUUAGAAGCACGAAAUCUGAUCUACAUGGCAAACUUGGUCUAAAAUUUGUUCCUAACUAGUAAAGCUUCCUGGAGGGUUACUGUUAUAUGGAUUUAUAAACUGAACCUUAUGAUGAUCUGAGAGUUUUGUUCUUAUUUGCUCUUCCAGUUUAAACAAAAUUCCAAACCAUUCCCACCCCCGCCUCCAUCCCUGAAUAUCCAGCAUCGUUCAGGCCAAAAUAGAUAACAUAAAAUAAAGAAGAUCAUGUCAUUGUCAUUUAGUCAAAUAUAGAUGGUUGGAUAGGAGAGUUGAGUAGUGAAUCGUCAAAGUUUUUUAGUUUCUCAGACGUGCAUUGUAAUACUCCCUUGUCUCUGCGUCCCAUCGUAGGGUUGAUGGCAACCUCCAAAUUCUGCUGAAAGGCCCUCAGAAAAGGUUACGAGAUUUUGUGGAGGCCUAAUAUAUAUGACUAAUGUUCAACUUCAUCUGACAAGUUUGUUCAAUUGAAUCUUCUGACUGGCAGAAGAAAGGAGGACUUGGUGGCAUUCUCUUGAGAAUGAAUGAGAGGAGCUGUUUUUUUUCUUCUUUGGUUGGUGUUGCCUCAAAUACUCACAACAGUCGAUGUAGAGCAAAUUUUAGUGUAUAGAAUUCCAGAUUGGGAUUAUUGGAUGUUUAAGCUUGAAUUUAUUUGAUUAGUGGAGCUUGUCAUUUUCUGCUUCACUAGUAUCUUUACUCGUGAGGUACAGUUGUUCCAGCUUCUUAUUGCAAGGACAUGUAGUAACUCUUCCCUACCCAAAAUCGUAGAUGUUGGUGAGGAAGAAAGAAAUGAUUGGUAGAAGUUGCUAGGUGUAAGCGUGAAAUUGAUUCACUUGAAUGACCCUAUCUUAGAAAGGUUAAAGCAUUCUGUUAUUCUUUUACGGCCAUAAUUGAAUCACUUGAAU